rnacentral:rRNA from 1 species
UACGUAGGGUGCAAGCGUUGUCCGGAAUUAUUGGGCGUAAAGAGCUCGUAGGCGGUGUGUCGCGUCGGCCGUGAAAACCUGCAGCUUAACUGUGGGCUUGCGGUCGAUACGGGCAUCACUGGAGUUCGGCAGGGGAGACUGGAAUUCCUGGUGUAGCGGUGAAAUGCGCAGAUAUCAGGAGGAAGACCAGUGGCGAAGGCGGGUCUCUGGACAGUUCCUGACGCUGAGGCACGAAGGCCAGGGGAGCAAACAGG